rnacentral:rRNA from 1 species
CCGCGGUAAUACGUAGGGCGCGAGCGUUGUCCGGAAUUAUUGGGCGUAAAGGGCUCGUAGGCGGCUUGUCGCGUCUGCUGUGAAAACGCGGGGCUCAACUCCGCGCGUGCAGUGGGUACGGGCAGGCUGGAGUGCGGCAGGGGUGGCUGGAAUUCCUGGUGUAGCGGUGGAAUGCGCAGAUAUCAGGAAGAACACCGAUGGCGAAGGCAGGCCACUGGGCCGUCACUGACGCUGAGGAGCGAAAGCGUGGGGAGCGAACAGGAUUAGAUACCCUGGUAGUCCACGCUGUAAACGUUGGGAACUAGGUGUGGGGUCUGUUCCACGGAUUCUGCGCCGGAGCUAACGCGUUAAGUUCCCCGCCUGGGGAGUACGGCCGCAAGGCUAAAACUCAAAGGAAUUGACGGGGGCCCGCACAAGCGGCGGAGCAUGCGGAUUAAUUCGAUGCAACGCGAAGAACCUUACCAAGGCUUGACAUGUGCCGGUCUGCUCCGGAGACGGGGUUUCCUCCCUUGUGGGGGCUGGUUCACAGGUGGUGCAUGGUUGUCGUCAGCUCGUGUCGUGAGAUGUUGGGUUAAGUCCCGCAACGAGCGCAACCCUUGUCCCGUGUUGCCAGCGCGUUGUGGCGGGGACUCACGGGGGACUGCCGGGGUCAACUCGGAGGAAGGUGGGGACGACGUCAAAUCAUCAUGCCCCUUAUGCCUUGGGCUUCACGCAUGCUACAAUGGCCGGUACAGAGGGUGGCGAUGCCGUGAGGCGGAGCGAAUCUCGUAAAGCCGGUCUCAGUUCGGAUCGGGGUCUGCAACUCGGGCCCGUGAAGUCGGAGUCGCUAGUAAUCGCAGAUCAGCAACGCUGCGGUGAAUACGUUCUCGGGCCUUGUACACACCGCCCGUCACGUCAUGAAAGUUGGUAACACCCGAAGCCCAUGGCCUAACCACCAUUUUUGGUGGGGGGAGUGGUCGAAGGUGGGAUUGGCGAUUGGGACGAAGUCGUAACAAGGUAGCCGUACCGGAAGGUGCGGCUG